UUUUCCCAAGAGGAAUGGGAAUGGCUGGACCCGUCUCAGAAGGAUUUAUACAGAGAUGUCAUGUUGGAGAACUACAGGAACUUGGACUCUCCAUUUCUAAGCCCAACAUGAUCUCCUUAUUGGAGCAAGGGAAGGAGCCUUGGAUGGUGGAGAAAGAGAUGUCAGAUGGUCAGUGUGCUGGUUUAGUCCUCAUCCAAUAUCUUUUUAAAAAAAUAAGA